CAUGGCCACUUACACUGACCUGAACCACCUGGUGUCAGCCACUGUGAGUAGGGUCACCACCUGCCUACGCAACCCCAGCCAGCUCACUGCUGACCUGUGCAAGCUGGUUGUCAACGUGGUCCCCUCCUCUGCCUGCAGUUCUUCAGGCCCAGCUCCGCCCCACUGACCAGGCAGGGCCAGCCAGCAGUACCGGGCCUUGAGGGUGCCAGAGCUCCCCACGCAGGUGUUAGAGGCCAAGAACAUGAUGGUCGCCUAUGACCCCUGCUACAGCCGCUAUCUGACCAUGGUCAUCACCCUCAGGGCUGCAUAUCCAUAUGGUGGGAGCUUACCACUGAGGGCUAGAAGACUGCUUGGGAGGGCAGCCACCAGACCAAGGUGUUAUCGAAGGGCCCCCCCCAGAAGGAGUGGCCACAGUGAGCUCAUGUGGGCUUCAGCCAGGUCCUGUCCGACAAGGGGACCCACGUGGAGAUGAGCGUGGCCGCAGGCCCCGGUCCUCUGUGUUCUUGCUGGCAUGGAGGAUGAGGGGCGGCAGGGCCUACAGCUGGUCCAGAGAGGGCAGGCUGAAACGCUGGGCAGAAGGAGAGGAGCGAGCUCAGGAAGGGGAAGCUGCUGAUCGACGUGACCCUGCAGACCUGUGGGAUGAUUCAGGGACGACACCCUGGACACCGCGCCCCUGCCCGGUUCCACCAGAUCUAGCCUCCCCCUGGGCCCACUCCCGGGCCGCGCGCGGAAGCUCUUCCCCAAGCUCAGCAUCACCUGGGGCGCUUCAGGCUGGCCUACGGCCCCGAUGCGGAGCUCAGCGCCAAGGAGUUCAGCUACCACCGAGGUCUGAAAAAGCGGGCGGAAGUGGGGAAGUCCGGGCUCUUCUGCCCCAAAAUGCUGCUGUGGUGGGGCUCUCCAAGAACCUGUCGGUCAUUGCCCAGGGCCUGUCCCUGGAGCCCCCGAUGAUGAUCAGAUAUGGCAUCAACAAUGUCCUGGAGCUGGUGGGCCGCCAGGUGAAUCUGCAGAUGGUGUACAGCACUGCCUGUGCUGCCCUAACGUGGAACUGGGCUUCAGGUAUAGAUGGAAUUUGUGAGAUAUAGAUGGUAUAUAUAUAUAAAGAGAGAGAAA
rnacentral:lncRNA from 1 species